CAGAAAGCAGGAGCUGAUGAUGCACAGGACAUGGAGGGAUGUUACUUACUGGCUUGCUUCCAGUGACUUGCUCAGCCUUCUCUCUUAUAGAAUCCAAGACUACCAGCCUAGGGAUGGCACCACCCACAAGGGGUCCUCCCUCCUUGAUCACUAAUUGAGAAAAUGUCUAACAGCUGGAUCUCAUGGAGGCACUUCCCCAACUGAAGCUCCUUUCUCUGUGAUAACUCUAGCCUGUGUCAAGUUGGCACACAAAACCAUCCACUACAAAAAGUUAAAAAUAAAAGUGAUUGUCUUGGGAACAGAAGCAUGAGUGGACAAUCAAGUUGUGCCUCAGGAAUUUUUCCUAGGUGCAGAAGGGGUAAUCAUUGGGCCUAAAUUGUCCCUAAAAUCAGGGACAUCCAGUGUUGGGGAAUGAACAGAGAAGUCAGCCUCAGGCCCCUAGAUGUCCUCAGAAAGCAGCUUAUGGGGCCAUGAAGCUGUUACUAAGCCAGAGAAAUCCAUUUCUGAAUUUACCAGAGUGACCUCAGGAAGUGCAGGUUUGGACCUCUGUUCUACCAUCCAUGCAGUACUGACCCCAGAAAUGGAUGCUGCCUACAGGACAUUUGGGGCUCAUGCCCCCAGUACCUUGGAAUUACAUCUGGGAUGAAGCAGCAAUAUUAUAUAAGGAAUACAGAUCUAUCCAGGUGGUAUAGAUAAUGAUUGUGUGGGAGAAUAAAAGAUUAUGGCUGCUUCCCCCAUGGCAUUAUAGCUGUGUCUGCAAACAAAGAAUUGUUCAACUUAUUUCAGUUUCCUUGCAUCUGCUACCUUCCAAAUUUGUUAAGAGUAAGAAAGGAUGUGGUGUCUUCAGUUCCUCUGAUGUGUACUGGGUUCAGUCUAUUACUAGUAAGAGACCUAACUUUAAUUUAAUAAUUGAAGGAAAAAGUUUUAAAGGAUUAAUAGAUACCAGGGAUGAUGUAACAGUUAUUAGAGGACAAGAUUGGCCUUCAACUUGGCCUUUAUCUGGUAUCUCACUCACCUUCAAGGGAUUGGUUAUGCCAAUAACCCAAAACAAAGUUCUAAACUUCUAGCCUGGAGAGAUGACGCGGGCAAUUCAGUACAAAUUCAAAUCUGUCAUGCCACAUUUGCCUAUUACCCUCUGGGGAAGACAUCUCUUGUCACAGAUGGGUCUUAUAAUGUGCAGUCAUAAUGAAGUAGUGACAAAUCAAAUGCUUAGACAAGGAUUUGGAGGGACAAGGAAUUAAGACAUUUGAAAGGUCUAACCUCCAUUCUAACAGUAGAAGCUUAGGGUAUUUUCCAUAAGGGCUGUUAUCUUGCCUGCACUUCUUGCUGAUAAAAUUCAACGGAUUAAAAAUGUUCCAAUGUGGGUUGAUCAGUGGCCUAUAUCUAAAGAAAGAAAUAGAAGCCACCUUUUCACUUGAGCAGAAGCAACUAGAAGCAGGGUAUAUAAGAGAAUUUCAGUUGCCAUGGAAUAUUCCAAUGUUUGUUAUCAAGAAAAAAAUCUGGUAAAUGGAGAUUGCUAUAAGAACUAAAAAAGGUCAAUGAAACCAUAAUAUCUAUGGGAGCUUUACAACCUAGGCUUCUAUCUCUAGUAGUCAUUCCUAAAGGAUAUUAUUAAAUAGCAGUAGAUUUUGAAAUAUUGUUUCUUUACUAUUCUUUAUAUUUGCACCCCAGGAUUGCAAAAUAUUUGCUUUCAUUGUUCCUUCUAUUAAUUUUAAAGAACCUAGGAAAAGAUAUUAAUGGAUAGUUCUUCCUCAGGGCAUGGCCAAUAGGCCUACCUUAUGUCAAAAAUUUGAGGUACAAGCCAUUUAGCCUAUAAGAGAGCAAUGGCAAAUGAUAUACAUCAUACAUUACACAGAUGCUCUCUUGUUAGCAGGAAAAAAUCUUCAGGACUUGCUAUUAUGUUAUAGAGAUUUACAACAGGCAUUAGCUG
rnacentral:lncRNA from 1 species